UACAAAGUAUUAAGCGCUUUCAAUAAUUCGAAAAGCGCUAAUCCAUUCAAAAAAGGGGUAUGGAAAUGGGAACAAUCGUAUGUCAAACAUGCAAUGGUACGAUCGAUCAUUUUGAGGACGAAAAGGUCAGUGUUUUGUAUGGGAAGUGCACAAGCUGCGAUUGCCAGGUACUCGAAAGAGAAAUCACAGUUAUUCAAGGGGUUUAAAUAGAGGAUAGAUGAGAGCAUGCAGGAUUUCCUGCAUGCUUUUGU
rnacentral:sRNA from 1 species